GGCCUCGUAGCUCAGUUGGCAGAGCAUUGGACUAGUAUCCCAAAGGUCGCGGGUUCGAUUCCCACCGUGCUCA
rnacentral:tRNA from 1 species